rnacentral:rRNA from 1 species
AGCGAACGCUGGCGGCAGGCUUAACACAUGCAAGUCGAGCGGGCCUUUCGGGGUCAGCGGCGGACGGGUGGGGAACGCGUGGGAACUUGCCCUCUGGUUCGGAAUAACUCAGGGAAACUUGAGCUAAUACCGGAUACGCCCUUUUGGGGAAAGGCUUGCUGCCGGAGGAUCGGCCCGCGUCUGAUUAGCUAGUUGGUGAGGUAACGGCUGACCAAGGCGACGAUCAGUAGCUGGUCUGAGAGGAUGAUCCGCCACACUGGGACUGCGACCCGGCCCAGACGCGGACGGGAGGGAGGAGUGGGGAAUAUUGGACAAUGGGGGCAAGCCUGAUCAAGCCAUGCCGGGUGAGUGAUGAAGGCCUUAGGGUUGUAAAGCCCUUUUAUCCGGGACGAUAAUGACGGUACCGGAGGAAUAAGCCCCGGCUAACUUCGUG